rnacentral:rRNA from 1 species
UGGGGAAUCUUGCGCAAUGGGGGAAACCCUGACGCAGCGACGCCGCGUGGAGGAUGAAGGUCUUCGGGUUGUAAACUCCUUUUCUUGGGGAAAAUGAUGAUGGUACUCAAGGAAUAAGCCACGGCUAACUCUGUGCCAGCAGCCGCGGUAAGACAGAGGUGGCGAGCGUUGUUCGGAAUUACUGGGCUUAAAGGGCGAGUAGGCGGUAGAGCAAGUCUGAGGUGGAAUCCUAUGGCUUAACCAUAGAACUGCCUUAGAAACUGCUUUACUUGAGUCAGUGAGGGGAGGGCGGAAUUCCUGGUGUAGCGGUGAAAUGCGUAGAUAUCAGGAGGAAGGCCUGUGGCGAAAGCGGCCCUCUGGCACUGUACUGACGCUGAGGCGCGAAAGCGUGGGGAGCAAACAGG